UGUUAUUUAUAAGGAUCCCGAGACUCGGAAACUUAGCUACUGCGUAGCAGAUUAAGUAUUUCACUCCCUGGAUGUUUUGCUCACAAGCUUGUGCUUGCUGCUUGGACGUAGCCCCAUGACCCUCAAGUAAAUGCUGAUGGGUAUGUAUGGGACAUGCAAGGAAGAUGCAGAGAGGAAAGAGGCCUUACUCAUCUGUCGAGUCUCCUAAGGUUGCAUCUCCUGUAGCAGGCUUCCUCUGCACACACCCACCAUUGCUCAGCGGGAGCUCCCACAGCAUUAGCAGAGGGCCUCACCUCAGAGAAGUCAGAAUGGAAGUAUGGGAAGACCAGGGAGGUGUGGUCAGUUUGUCGUCACU